rnacentral:rRNA from 1 species
UAAGGAAUAUUGGACAAUGGAGGCAACUCUGAUCCAGCCAUGCCGCGUGAAGGAAUAAGGCCCUAUGGGUUGUAAACUUCUUUUAGACGGGACAAAACCCCUUUACGUGUAAAGGGUUGAUGGUACUGUCAGAAUAAGCAUCGGCUAACUUCGUGCCAGCAGCCGCGGUAAUACGAAGGAUGCAAGCGUUAUCCGGAAUUAUUGGGGUUAAAGGGUGCGUAGGCGGACUAAUAAGUCAGUGGUGAAAGCCUGCAGCUUAACUGCAGAAUUGCCAUUGAUACUGUUAGUCUUGAGUACAGUUGAGGUAGGCGGAAUGUGUCAUGUAGCGGUGAAAUGCUUAGAUAUGACACAGAACACCGAUUGCGAAGGCAGCUUGCUAGGCUGUAACUGACGCUGAGGCACGAAAGCGUGGGGAGCAAACA